ACGGUAGCACAGAGAGCUUGCUCUCGGGUGACGAGUGGCGGACGGGUGAGUAAUGUCUGGGAAACUGCCUGAUGGAGGGGGAUAACUACUGGAAACGGUAGCUAAUACCGCAUAACGUCGCAAGACCAAAGAGGGGGACCUUCGGGCCUCUUGCCAUCAGAUGUGCCCAGAUGGGAUUAGCUAGUAGGUGGGGUAACGGCUCACCUAGGCGACGAUCCCUAGCUGGUCUGAGAGGAUGACCAGCCACACUGGAACUGAGACACGGUCCAGACUCCUACGGGAGGCAGCAGUGGGGAAUAUUGCACAAUGGGCGCAAGCCUGAUGCAGCCAUGCCGCGUGUAUGAAGAAGGCCUUCGGGUUGUAAAGUACUUUCAGCGGGGAGGAAGGUGUUGUGGUUAAUAACCGCAGCAAUUGACGUUACCCGCAGAAGAAGCACCGGCUAACUCCGUGCCAGCAGCCGCGGUAAUACGGAGGGUGCAAGCGUUAAUCGGAAUUACUGGGCGUAAAGCGCACGCAGGCGGUCUGUCAAGUCGGAUGUGAAAUCCCCGGGCUCGACCUGGGAACUGCAUUCGAAACUGGCAGGCUAGAGUCUUGUAAGAGGGGGGUAAAUUUCCAGGUGUAGCGGUUA
rnacentral:rRNA from 1 species